rnacentral:rRNA from 1 species
AAAAGAACCUGAAACCGUGUACGUACAAGCAGUGGGAGCCUCUUUUAUGGGGUGACUGCGUACCUUUUGUAUAAUGGGUCAGCGACUUAUAUUCUGUAGCAAGGUUAACCGAAUAGGGGAGCCGAAGGGAAACCGAGUCUUAACUGGGCGUUAAGUUGCAGGGUAUAGACCCGAAACCCGGUGAUCUAGCCAUGGGCAGGUUGAAGGUUGGGUAACACUAACUGGAGGACCGAACCGACUAAUGUUGAAAAAUUAGCGGAUGACUUGUGGCUGGGGGUGAAAGGCCAAUCAAACCGGGAGAUAGCUGGUUCUCCCCGAAAGCUAUUUAGGUAGCGCCUCGUGAAUUCAUCUCCGGGGGUAGAGCACUGUUUCGGCAAGGGGGUCAUCCCGACUUACCAACCCGAUGCAAACUGCGAAUACCGGAGAAUGUUAUCACGGGAGACACACGGCGGGUGCUAACGUCCGUCGUGAAGAGGGAAACAACCCAGACCGCCAGCUAAGGUCCCAAAGUCAUGGUUAAGUGGGAAACGAUGUGGGAAGGCCCAGACAGCCAGGAUGUUGGCUUAGAAGCAGCCAUCAUUUAAAGAAAGCGUAAUAGCUCACUGGUCGAGUCGGCCUGCGCGGAAGAUGUAACGGGGCUAAACCAUGCACCGAAGCUGCGGCAGCGACACUAUGUGUUGUUGGGUA